rnacentral:lncRNA from 1 species
ACCCUAUACCCCACCCCCUUCCACUUCAUCUUCUCCAAACAACCUACACUCCAUCGUUAACCUCCAGCAAUGGCUGCCCUUCCCCCUCCGCCUACCAGCCAUCUCCACGUUCAAACCGUCACUCACCACCCAAUCGCCUGAACAACGACAACCCUAAGCAACGAAACAACCAUAGAUGCCCCUCCCCUAUGCUACAACAGUCCCCUUCGAUGCCCCGUCGCGAGCGUUCUCGUCGACCACCAAGUGCUCCACUAGCGACGACCACCCAUCACUAUUGUUUCUUCUCCAUGAUGCAACAGAAACCACCGCUCAACAGCUGCGGCUUCGUCGUCUUCUUCAUUUGAAACACACAAAAAAGACGCUAAAAUUUCUAAAGAAGGAGACAAACACCCACAAAAAACAGUAGCAUUGUUUUCUCUUAAACAACCUUCUUCUUCUUCUUCUUCAAAUAGCCGCAUCAGUCAUCUGCUGAAGAACAACCAUACACCUUCUCUUUGUCGCCAAAGUCUGGCGAGUUUGAGGUCCAUUUGAUUCGCCAUUGGUCUGAUACGGUUAGUUGGUUUAAGUUUCAUUUCGGUCCGUAUUUUGUUUGAUAUUCUCGAACCUAAAAUCAGUAUAUGGUUGAUUAUUUUCGUGUUCGUUGUUUAUCAUUUUCUUGAUUAUUUCUUCAGUUUGUUUUAUCAUUUGUUCUUGUUAAGUUUUAAAUGUUUUAGUUUAAUCACUUGAAUCAUUUGUCUUGAUUAUAAUGUUGUUAGAUUUAAUUUAAAGUCCAAUUGAUUAUUGAAUUUAGUGAUUUGAAUCUGUUUUAUUGUUAUGUUAAUGUUUAAAUUUGGAUCAGAGUUAGAGAAUUAAAUUUAUUUGUUUGAUCUGUUAAGUUUAAUUUGAAUCCGAGUUUAGUAAUUUAAAUUUACUUAUUUGUUAUUGUUGUUAAAUCUGAAAGUAUUUUUAUUGAUAAAAAUAUUGUUCAGUUAAAAUAAUUUUAGUUCUUUGUUGUUCAUCAUAUAGUUUGAAUUUGUUGAUUAGGAAUUGGCCAUACUUGCUGUAUUUUGGUUAAUUAAUUUAGGUGAAUUGGUUAUAGCUGAUGUGGUACAAUUGUAAUUUUCAGUUAUUUUGGGGGGGUAUUUUGGGAAUUAAUUAAAUAUGGACCCAUAACUUUUAAUUAAAAUAAGAGGGGACAAUGGUUAGUGGGAGACAAAACAUAAUGAUGUAAAGUAAAAAGGGAGUAAUGAUAAAAGGUCUUCUUUGACCACUAAAAAGGGGUUGGACUGUAGGGUCCAUAGUGACUACUUUUACCUAAUUGGAAAACAGAAAUAAUAUGUGUAAUAAUAAAAGGGGUAGUAAUAUUAGUUAAAAGAAUAGGGGAAAAAGUUUUGCCUUGGGGUUUCUAAUAGGACUCAUUUAAUACUUAGAGGGGGAGAAUUUGGAUAUCAAAACUUUCAGAACUUAAGAGAAUGAAAAAAGAGAAUAAAUAAAGAAUUGAGAGUUGAAAAGAUUAGAGAGCUGAAAACCCCACUGUUUGUUUGAAGCUUCUCUUCUUGCUUCAUUGAUAUCGUUUCUCUUGAUUUAAAUAAACUAAGACCGAUCUUAAGUAACCCUAGCGUGUCUUUAAAUUCAUUUGGCUGGUGUUGAUAUUGUUGUGGGUUGAAGUCCAUUUCUGUUGGAAUUUUUUGGGUUGAUUUUACUGGGUUUUGUUGAAAUCUGUUGUUGGGUUUAGCUAGUGCUGUUGCUGUUUUGCUGUGUUGAUUACUGCCUUGCUGAUUUAUCACCUUCCUCCUUUUGCUUUUAAUAUCAGGCACACAACUGGUACACCUUGUAAGUUGAUAACAUGAAGCAUGAAUACAAAUGAAGAGUUGGAGUUUUAAUUUUAUUUAGUUUUGUUAUUGAAUGUAUUUAGG